UAGAGAAAGAGGACAUGAAGCUCUGUCCGAACGACGAAAUGUAUAGUUUGGGAAACCAUAUCCAGUAAAAUCAAGACUCACAUCAAAAUUAAAGAAACCCACAUCAACAAUAGGAUCAAAUUGCUGGAAAUCAAGUAAAAUAAACAAAUCGCGGACCUAAUUUACAAAAUCGCGUCAAUUGGUUUCUAAAUUUAUUUUUGUCUUCAACAAAAAUUGUUCAUCUCUUCUUCUGUAUGCACUUGGAAAGGUGAAUUACAAGGAUGAAUUAAUUGAAGGAUUGAAGAGAAAUUGGUGGAAUAAGACAGGUAAAGAAGAUGCGAUAAAUUGAGGUGCAAACACCAACAGUUGACACCUCUUCAUCACCAGAAACGCGCUUGGAAGGUGCUCGACAUAAUUCUCAAACCAGUUCCGGGAAAAAACAGACGGUUAGCAUCAAUAUACGGGAGACAACUAAUGUCGAGCGCUUGGAAGGUGCUCGACAUAUUUCUGGUCAUCGUCGGUAUUCCUAUUUGAAGUUGGGAGGAAAUGAGGUUUCAAGAAUUUGGAGUGCUGGCAUCACAUGAUAGUUGAUUUUGAGUAAUAAAGAAGGAUGCUAGUGCGGAUUUUUGUUUAAUUUGAGAGUUGAUUGUCUUAAAGAUUUUGGAUUAUUAAUUUAUUAAUGAUAUUUGAUUGUUG